GGAAGCGUCUGCUGUGAUUGGUUGGUGCUCGCCGGCACCGCCCCUUUUUCUGCGACCGGAUCGUCCCUCGCGGCGGGGGUCUUCCGUUCUGAUUCCACCGGCUCCGCGACCCGGAAGUUCGAGGCACCGAUAGACCAGCUUUCCGGCACCUUCCGGUUUAAAAACCAGGCCAGGUUUUUCUCCAAGAGGAGCCACUCCCGGGCCAAGUUAGCCGGUGAGAGGGAGAUAGGCGCGCGCCGACGUUGCUCUCAGCAUCAGGACCUUAAAGGUGCCUGGUUUUCUACACUGAUGCAGAAGAAAAUCUUCAAAUCAACUUAGCAGAGACAAAUCUUCCAGUCACAUAAAGCCACCUCCCACGUCCUUGCCAAUAAAGGCAGCCAGCAGCAACAGAAGCCACGAGGUGUCAGCAAGAGGAAUUUAAAGGCCACCAGAGGGAACACAGAGGGUGGCUCAGAUGAGGGAACACAGAAGCCAGUCGCUGCAUAGGAAGGAAGUUGGCUUUAAACAAUUCUGCUGAAAUUCUUCCAUGUUACUCCUCAAACUGGGCACACAGCUUCGGAAGGACAUGACUCACUCGGAGCACCCUGAGGUGGCAAAGUGCUCUUCUGGGGCGAGGAUAAAUUACCCACCCACAGCCUCUUGCACAACCAUGUGUCCCCGCUGGUCUGAUUCAGGUGGCACUUGCACCAUGGUCAUCCAGGAGGGCGACAGCAGCUGUCAGAGGCUCGCUCCCUUCUUUACCUGGUAGGGUAAGGUUGCAGGACUGGUUCUGCCACGGAUGCCUCAGGGCCGAAGAAUGGAGGAGCAAGGGCCCUUUUCUCUAAACAAAAGUCAGGCUGAGAAUCCUAAGUGGUGCCUUUUGCAUCAACUCUGCAGGAGAGACAGGAAGAAGAAAAAGCAGGUGUUGGUCAAAUGAUAAUGUUGGUUUUGACGACAUAGGUUAUCUUACAGAAAAUAGAUCAUCUUGAACUGUGGUGUUGGCGAAGACUCUUGAGAGUCCCUUGGGCUGCAAGGAGAUCCAACCAGUCCAUCCUAAAGGAGAUCAGUCCUGAAUAUUCAUUGGAAGGACUGAUGUUGAAGCUGAAACUCCAAUCCUUUGGCCACCUGAUGCGAAGAGCUGACUCAUUUGAAAAGACCCCGAUGCUGGGAAAGAUUGAAGGAGGGAGGAGAAGGGGAAGACAAAGGAUGAGACGGUUGGAUGGCAUCACCGACUCAACGGACAUGAGUUUGAGUAAACUCUCCGAGUUGGUGAUGGACAGGGAGGCCUGGCGUGCUGCAGGCCAUGGGGUCGCAAAGAGUCGGACACGACUGAGCGACUGAACUGAAUGAACUGAGCUGAACUGACUUUUAAAGAUGGAAGGAGACGGAAAGAGGAAUAGUAAUUCAAGAGGGAAAUAGAGCAUAGUACCUUGAUAUUAGUGAGUGAAAUUGAUGAAAUUGAUUUCUAUUCUCUGAAAUAGGAAUUUAAAAGUUUAGGUAUUUAAUAGCUGGUAAUUUAGAAUUCUGAAGGGUAGUUGUUUGGGAAAGAAAUACAUCUUAUUAUAUGAUCACAUCAAUAACCUAUACCAAAGUGUAAUAAUAGUAAUAAUAGCAAUCUGUCCUAACUUCCUGAAGGAAAUAGCAAGAGAAACAAAAGAUGAUCAUAUUUUGUAUUUGUAAAUAAUGUUACAAGUUUCCAAGGUAUUUCACUUAAACGGUUUCAUUUAAUCCUCAUGCCAGUUUUAAAAAUAGGCUGCCCAAUUUCUUUGUCUUCAUUUUGCAGGCAGAGGAUUGAAGCCUAGACCAGCUUGGUGGUUUGCCCUGGGUUAAAAUCCGGGAAAUAACAAAACUAGGACUAGAGCUCUUGGCUCUUGCUUCCCAGGUGUUGUUUUUUCACUUCUGAAGGAGUGAUCAUUCCUGAUUCCACAAUCUCUGUCACUGAAAACAGCCAUGAGUUUCCAGAGUUGAGUAAAGCUUCUCCAGGCUUUGGUAUCACUCACAGUACUUAUCCCUAGUGAAUGGAUACUGUGUGUGGUUUUCCCUUUCUGUGUACUGUCAACAUAACAUGGGAAUCAACCUAAACAAUUCAGCUCACAACUUUCCUUUGGGUCUGUCAAGGGCCUCCGUCCUCGGUCAUGGUUCAGCUGGCAGACAACGGAACCAUCUGCACCAACCCAACAGCAGCGCUUCCACCUCCUCCACCCUCCGACCCAGUUUCUGCCCACAGCUGGCACCACAGCAGGCACCUGCAUAUACUGCAGAAUUUUUUGAGUUUGCUUUCAACCUGCCACCAACCCCCAAUCUCUCUUUCACACACACACAUGCAUCCCUUACCACACACAGAUGUACACACACACACACACACACAAGCAUUCUAGGGGAAAAUUUUUGUAUUGCUUUUAUUACUUUAAAUAAAUAAAUAAAAUGAACCGUAAGUAAAAGUUAAUUAUGGGGUAAGAUUGGCUUCCCAGGUGGCACUAGUGGCAAAGAACCUGGCUGC